rnacentral:snoRNA from 1 species
CACGAAGAUGAUAUGGCACUGGGCUCCGACGGUCGUUACAAAAACGGCCGGUCAUGAUGGAUAUGCCCUCUUUGUGGCAGGCCUAGAAAACCUCGCCCACUGAGA